CAUACACGCCAGUAUCGGAUCAGAGCAUAUUUAGCUCUAGUCCGUCAUUUUUUUCAAAUGCUCCAGAGUCGCCGCCGCCGAUGUGUAUG